rnacentral:snoRNA from 1 species
GUGAUGGUGACCCCGAUCGCUGAAAAAUGAAGAAUGGUAUUACUGCUGA